GGUACGAUAUAUUACAACCAUAGUUUGAAACAACUUAAUCAUGCAGGUCAGUGUGGUUCUAAGAAUUUAAAACCAGUCUGGAAGAAAAACAAAUAUUUAAGUUUCAAUCUAGAGUAUCAUGAGACUCAUAAGAUACCCUAGGUCUUCAGGGCUUCCUCUUUGGUGAGUCCCUGCUGGCUUUCUGAAAACAACAACAAGGGAUCCCCUGAGUACGAAGUACUCAGCAAGUCUUACCCGACUAACCAAUAUAAUAGCUUUCUUUGGAAGUGUAUGCUUAGCUUUUUGGUGUACUUGGCUAAUGCAAUUUUUGCCGAAAAGCUUACUACAAGUGAUACCUUAGUUUUAUCUUUCAUUUGGAUUAAGUUAUUACCUAACCAUUCUAAAUGAUAACAGAAGUAAAAGCAACCAUAGCUGUUAAGUCAUACAUUACUCGACAACAGGAGAUUUUAUAUCGCAUGAGUUGAUACUACGAUGCUCAACAGUGAUCAAGUGCAUUCAUAACCGAGAAUUGCGGCGAUCCGGAUCAAAUUACAUCCUGCAGGAGAGUACCCCGAUCACCAGCAUUAUACGACUGUUCCGGUUGUAUCUCACAACCUCUCGAUUAGCAAAGUCAAUGAUUAGGAAUACAACUACCCGGAUCCAGGGAUGCACCCCCACAUGGGACCCCACGUCUGGCCUGAUCUCCAUGUGAGUUUCAGGCUACACCCCUGCCAAUCUCCAGCACGUCAAAUGCGGGUACGAAGCAUUCCUGAUCAUAGAAUUUACUAAUCUACUGGGCUUUACUAGUCCCAUACCCAGUAAGUGAUCAGAUGUUAUCACUUGAUCAGUAGUUAAGACACGGAUCGGUCCUCAAUCAGAUUAAUUAGCAGACAGAACUACAUCUCUAGCUUCUGUCUGGUUCUAUAUUCCAAACUAUCCUUCAUAAGCAACAUGUAUGACUUAAGAGUUUUCCUUAAGGUUGGUAAACCAAUCAUGUAAGCAAGUAAGCAAUUCUAGACUUGAGUAGUUUCUAGGAUUUGAACAAGUGGCAAAGAUGUCCUUAAAUCAAGGCAUGAUCAUACACAAGAAUAGGUUCCAUCCAACUCCUAGACUUAGUAUAUGCAAUAAACAAAUAACCUAUAACUAGUCACAUGAAAUAACGACUCUUAAAAUAGAUAGGUAUAAAUGCACCGGGGCUUGCCUGGGAUCAACAAGGUUAGUUCUUCGGAAAACUUGUUUAUUGAAAGAGGCACUGCGAAUGCUGUCCAUCUCCAGCUGAAAUCCAUGAAUUCCCACUCCAGGAGUUGUGACGUCUAUGAUUCAGUAUAUGCAAGAGUUAGAGAUGCAAACUUUUGAAUACAAGACUAUACAACUUUCCUUCAUGAUAAAGUUGCAAGCCAACAAGGACUAGACAAUUUAUCAUGAUAAAGUUGCAAGCCAACACACAAAAACCCGAAAAGAUUAGCCCACCAUUUUUAUUUAUUUUUAAAAGCAUUAUAAUAAUUUUCUAAUCUCAAAACCUAAUUCCUAUGAAUUAAUAAUGAUUUGUGGAUAAUAAAGCAUUUUUCAAAUUUUUAUACAUUUUAUAAAGUUUAAGCAUUUAUUUAAAUACCUUAGAUAAAAAGGCAUUAAAUAAAUACCUAAAUUUUUAUUAUUUUUCCUAGGGUUUAAGAAUUUUAAUGCAUAAAGGAAAAUAAAACAAUCCUAAUAAAAUUGGUUUCACUAAUUUUGGAUACUUCUAGAAUUUCCUGUGAAUUAAAUGGUGAAAACUGUAUUUAAUCUAUUUAUCUAAUAAAGAAAACCUAAGGUUUAAUUAAAACCCCCGGCCCAAACUUUUCUCACCCAACUUGCUUCUACCCACCAUUACUUCCACCUAGGGCCCAUCUGGUUUCCUAUUCUCCUUCUUCUUUUCUUCCUUGACAAGUGGGGCCCACGGCCGGCAUUUUCCUCGGGCCGAGAAGUGGCCCAUCAAUCUUAAUCCGCGGCAGCUCCCUUUUGGGCCGGUUCUCCCUUCUCUCCUCUUUCUUAAUCCCGGCCGGCCCACCUUCUUUUCUCCUCUCUUUAUGCUGCGCGGGCCAGCUGGGCUGGCGUCCUCCCCUCGGCCCAAAACGGACAGCUGACCCUCUUCUUUUUCUUUUCUUUUCUCCGACGGUUGGCCUGCUUAAACCGGCCCAUUGGCUUUUCCCUUCUCCUUUUGCACCGUGCGGCCAGCUGGGCUGACGCCUUUUUUUUUGGCCCACGACGGGCGGCGGCCUCUUUUCUUUUUCUGCCGCUCCCACCUGGGCUUCCCCCACCGGGACUUGACUUCCCGGCCCAAAAUCACCGACCGGCCUGCCUCUCCUCCCUUUCUCCUUCCAAUCCCCUGGCGCCUCUUCUUCCUCCCUACGCUCAGAACAGGGGCGCACGCCGGCGGGGCAAAACGGGACGGGCCCCGGCCAACGGCGGCUCGCCGGCGGCCGAGCCGGCCGGAGCGGUGGCGCCCCAGGCCAGGCGCACCCGCGCCCACUGCCCGCUCGCCGGGAGGCGGCCCGAGCCGGCCCCUCCACGGGCGGCCGCGGCUUGGCCAUCGGCCGGCCAUGGCGGCGCACGGAGGCGGCACAAGCUGUUCCCCUGACUUCCCCAACAGCUCCCACAUCCUAGCAGGACACCCCUAGGCCCGCCAAUCGAGAAGGAAAAGCCGAUUCAGGAGCUCACCUUGGGGAUUGGAUGACGGCGGCCGGCGGAUGGAAAUAGCGGCACACCGGAGCUUGACGGCGGGGAGCUGGAAAAUGGAGGAGCUUGGGACGUUGAGG
rnacentral:lncRNA from 1 species